GUGCAUGGUGGCAUAGUGGUUAGCAUGCUCGCCUCACACCUCCAGGGUUGGGGGUUCGAUUCCCACCGUGGACC